CAUGUCUUUUUGGGAAUUAUUUAAAGUCUAAUCUGCCCACUGAAUUUUUAAAGGGCCGCAGUAAUUUGACUGUGCAAAGGUAGCAUAAUAAUUUGUCUCUUAAUUGGAGGCUGGAAUGAAUGAUUGGACAAGGUAAAAACUGUCUCAUUAUUAAAACAAUAAAAAUUUAGUUUUUUAGUCAAAAAGCUAAAAUUUUUUUGGAGGACGAGAAGACCCUAUAGAUCUUUAUAUUAAUAAUUAUAUUUUUAUUUUGGAUAAAAAAUUUUAAGUAUAAUUUUUAGUAUUUUGUUGGGGUGACAUGAAAAUUAAUUUAACUUUUCAUAAAUUUAAACAUUAAUUAAUGAUUAAAUGAUCCAUUUUUAUUGAUUAUAAGAUUAAGUUACCUUAGGGAUAACAGCGUUAUUUUAUUGGAGAGUUCAUAUUGAUAAUAAAGUUUGCGACCUC
rnacentral:rRNA from 1 species